GCUCUUGUAACUAUGUUGGUUAGAGCACUUGUUUAGUAAGCGGGGGGUCUUGAGUUCAACUCUCAACAAGAGUA
rfam:Ipomoea nil DNA, scaffold: scaffold1416, cultivar: Tokyo-kokei standard.